UACGUAGGGUGCGAGCGUUGUCCGGAAUUAUUGGGCGUAAAGCGCACGUAGGCGGCGAUUCAAGUCAGAGGUGAAAGCCCGGGGCUCAACCCCGGAACUGCCUUUGAAACUAGAUUGCUAGAAUCCUGGAGAGGUGAGUGGAAUUCCGAGUGUAGAGGUGAAAUUCGUAGAUAUUCGGAAGAACACCAGUGGCGAAGGCGACUCACUGGACAGGUAUUGACGCUGAGGUGCGAAAGCGUGGGGAGCAAACAGG
rnacentral:rRNA from 1 species